rnacentral:rRNA from 1 species
AGUGAACGCUGGCGGCGUGCUUAACACAUGCAAGUCGAACGGCAGCACGGGAGCAAUCCUGGUGGCGAGUGGCGAACGGGUGAGUAAUGUAUCGGAACGUACCUUUCAGUGGGGGAUAACGUAGCGAAAGUUACGCUAAUACCGCAUAUUCUGUGAGCAGGAAAGCAGGGGAUCGCAAGACCUUGCGCUGAUUGAGCGGCCGAUAUCAGAUUAGCUAGUUGGUGAGGUAAGGGCUCACCAAGGCGACGAUCUGUAGCGGGUCUGAGAGAAUGAUCCGCCACACUGGAACUGAGACACGGUCCAGACUCCUACGGGAGGCAGCAGUGGGGAAUUUUGGACAAUGGGCGCAAGCCUGAUCCAGCCAUGCCGCGUGAGUGAAGAAGGCCUCGGUUGUAAG